rnacentral:rRNA from 1 species
GACGAACGCUGGCGGCGUGCUUAACACAUGCAAGUCGAGCGGUAAGGCCCUUUCGGGGGUACACGGGCGGCGAACGGGUGAGUAACACGUGGGUGACCUGCCCUCAGCUCUGGGAUAAGCCUGGGAAAACCGGGUCUAAUACUGGAUAUGACUCCAUGACGCAUGUUGUGGGGUGGAAAGCCUUGUGCGGCUGAGGAUGGGCCCGCGGCCUAUCAGCUUGUUGGUGGGGUGAUGGCCUACCAAGGCGACGACGGGUAGCCGGCCUGAGAGGGCGACCGGCCACACUGGGACUGAGACACGGCCCAGACUCCUACGGGAGGCAGCAGUGGGGAAUCUUGCGCAAUGGGCGAAAGCCUGACGCAGCGACGCCGCGUGAGGAUGACGG